AUUGAACGCUGGCGGCAUGCUUUACACAUGCAAGUCGAACGGUAACAGGGUGCUUGCACCGCUGACGAGUGGCGAACGGGUGAGUAAUGCGUCGGAACGUGCCGAGUAGUGGGGGAUAACGCAGCGAAAGUUGUGCUAAUACCGCAUACGUACUGAGGUAGAAAGUGGGGGACCUUCGGGCCUCACGCUAUUCGAGCGGCCGACGUCUGAUUAGCUAGUAGGUGAGGUAAAGGCUCACCUAGGCGACGAUCAGUAGCGGGUCUGAGAGGAUGAUCCGCCACACUGGGACUGAGACACGGCCCAGACUCCUACGGGAGGCAGCAGUGGGGAAUUUUGGACAAUGGGCGAAAGCCUGAUCCAGCCAUGCCGCGUGUCUGAAGAAGGCCUUCGGGUUGUAAAGGACUUUUGUCAGGGAGGAAAUCCCUAGUGCAAAUAACACUGGGGGAUGACAGUACCUGAAGAAUAAGCACCGGCUAACUACGUGCCAGCCGCCGCCGUAAAAC
rnacentral:rRNA from 1 species